GCCGACCGGAUCUGGAAACCUUAUGUGUUUAGGAUUCUAAACGUACGACUACGGUAUUAGAACUAGCAUGUAAAUGUUUCGGAGUGAUAAGGAUGAUUUAAACGUCAAGUAAAGGUCUAAAUUCACCUUAUUCGGUGUAUAGAUCGAGAUGGUAAGGACCCGUAGCGGAAACGUAAACGCAAAUGGGAACAGGAACCAACCCCCAGUGGUUCAGCAAAUACCUGUUGUAGAAGAAGUUGCGCCUGAGCCAGUCACCAUGGCUGGAGUUCAAGCCAUGAUUCGGGCUAUGUUGGCUGAACAAAGGGAAGAAAUGAGACGGAUGUUGAAUAGGGACGAACCUACUAUGCCCAUUGAGCAACCCGAACUGAUUCCCGAGCAAUCUGAGGAAGGGAACUACAGCCGCCAAGUGAGUCAAGUUGGGACUCAAGGUGAGCAAAGGGAUGGCCCAGAAGGGAGAAACAACAAGGAUGGGCGGAUGUACAAGAACUUCUUGGGUGCGAAACCACCAAGCCUCUCAGGAAGCCCAAAGCCGGUUGAGGUUAUGGAUUGGAUCUCUGAGAUGGAGAUGGUGUUUGAGAGCUGCAGCUGUAAUGAGAAACAGAAGACUGUCUUUGCAGUAAGACAGCUGAAAACUGGAGUCUUGAGCUGGUGGAAGCUAUUGGCAGAUACGAUGCCACGAGGAGAAGCCUUAAGGAUGUCGUGGGAAGAGUUUUUGGAACAGUUGAAAAUGCAGUACUGCUCGGAGGUAGAUCUGAUAGACCUAAACAACGAGUUUCAGAACCUGAAGAAAGGGAAGAUGAGUGUUGAUGAGUAUGCCACCGCAUUUACCGAGAGGAUGAAGCUAUUUCCCUACUUGGUGCCUACUGAACUCUCCAAGAUUGAUAGGUUUGCUAACGGACUGCCCACUGACUUUGGUCCAAUGGUCAAAAUGGCAACUACCUUAAAAGCAGCUAUUAGGGCAGCUAAGAACGUAGAGGCCCAGAUAAGAGAAAAGGGUCUAGAAAAAGAUAAGGCAGGAGAGAAGCGAAAGUUUGAGGGAUCUUCGAGGUCGAACAAGGAAAGCAAAUUCUCAAAACUCGGAGGAGCAGAUGGAGGUGAAACAAGAUGGUGUGAUAAAUGCAAGAAGAAGCAUGGUGGGAAGUGCAACGAAGAAGUGACUUGUUACAAGUGUGGGAGGACGGGUCACUAUUCCAAAGACUGCACACAUAAUGACAAAGUAUGCUACGGAUGUGGAGGCAAGGGGCACAUGUCCAGAGACUGCCCAAGGAAAAAUAAAGCAGCAAGACCAGAAACGCCACCAAGGCCAAGGGCAUUUCACAUGAUCCUCGACGAAGCAGAGAACCAUGCGAGGAAUCAAGAAUGAGGACUUCUUACCCGAAGAUCGGAUUAUGCAGUAGCCAUAGUUUCGUAUGAUGUAGCCUAGUAGAGGCAUAGUCUAGGGUGAACUUGAACACCUAUGUAAUCGUUUCAAGAAUUAAUAUAAAACCUUCGUUUUGUUAUCUGAUGUGUCGAAUGAUUGUGUGAUUUGCUGCAUGGUGACUUGGGAAACUGCGAGACAAUACUUGGGACGAGUAUGAGUAGGUGUGAAUGGUAGUAGAGGCCUAUACUACCGGAAGCACAGGACUCACACUUGGAUCAGGGAAAGUCACAAGGUUACCAAGAAGCUAGUAAUUGAUUUCGUUUUAUUCAAGUGUGUUGUUACCAUCGUUUCGGUAAUGACUAAGAAGAUUGUUGAUAUUCCGACCCUAGUGGUCAUAUCGAAUCGAGUCCGACUACGAUGAGUAUGUUGUGUGGUUCAGAGAACCAAGUUUGAUGUAGCGUCCGACUUAAACCAAACGGUUGAAAUCAAAGCGAUCAAUAGAAGUAUCGCACUCGUUGUUAAAGAAGUUGGUGGCUAGAAAUGCCUAAUGUUAAAGUGUGAUUAUAUCACAUUAGAACAUGAAGGAAGGCAUAGUCUGUUUUAGAAUUUAACUCUAAGAGACCUAAGUCUAAGUGUUGCAACAUACGAUGAUAGGUCAUUAGAAUAUGACACAUCGAUCUAUAGUAGUAAUAAAAGAACUUAUCUCAAGUCCGUAUCCAGCAAGGAUCGAGAUUGUGACUUGAAGGUCAUAAUUUGGAGUCUAACCUGAGGUAGAGAGCAGGUGCACGAUCGAGUACUCUUACAGUCAAUGAGUUUAAGAGAUAGAAUCGAAGGAAUGUAGAAGUUAUAAUUAUUACCUAGGAUGAAGAGAUGACGUAUGGAGUCAUUAUACGACCCUGUUUCGUUGAUGAUUCCGGGACGUAAUCAUCCUAAGGGGGAGAUAAUUGUAACGCCCGCAAAUCUGGGCUAGUCAAAUUAGAGGCAAUAGGGGUCGAAAACGACUUUUCGACAAAAGAUUAUUUAGAAUAAAUAAUCUUAACCAAGUUGUAGAGUAUGUUACAAGGUUUUCGUACAUAUAAAGAACGCCGAAAACCGAGUUAUAACGAAGAAGUUAUGACCCGUUGAAGUUUCGCGACGGAACCGGCACGAUACCGGGAAGCGUAAAUAGUGAAUUUACGAUAGAGCGAGAUUUAGCCUUAGCGAUCUAAACGAAAGUCGUAGAAUAUGUUAAACUAAGAACAUCGAUAAAAAGAACGCCCAAAUCUGACUUCGUAUGAGGAAGUUAUGAUUUUUCUAAGAUUUAGCAUAGCAGUGCACAGCCCGAAAUCUGAAUUUUAGAUCGGUCGAUUUUUAGCCGACGGGAUCUAAAUGAAAGUUGUAGUACUCGUAAAUACCAACGCGUGGAUAUAAAGAACGUCGAUAAUAGAGCUCGUAUGCAAAAGUUAUGGACGAAGCUUAGUCCCUACUUUUCGAGCGCGGCGAAUUCGAUACAGUUUUGUAAAUACGAGAUAGAAUGAGAAUUAGCCAACGAGGUCUAAAUGAGAGUUGAAGAUCUCAUUAAUAGGAACUCAACGGUAAAAAGACAGACAAAAAUGGAGCUCGUAUGCGAAAGUUAUGGACGAAGCUUAGUCCCUACUUUUCGAGCGCGGCGAAUUUGAUACAGUUUUGUAAAUCCGAGAUAGAAUGAGAAUUAGCCAACGAGGUCUAAAUGAAAGUUGAAGAUCUCAUUAAUAGGAACUCAACAGUAAAAAGACAGACAAAAACGGAGCUCGUAUGCAAAAGUUACGGACGAAGCUUGGAGACUACUUUACUAUACACUUCCUAUAAAUACAAGGGUGAACUCCUCAUAUUUUCUUCACACCAUAAGCCUUUCUUUCUCUCUCUAACUUCUCUCUAGCCUCCCUAAACCCCUCCCAAGUCUACGGAACCUCCCUAGCACGAGAAGAAAGCCCCGGAGCGCCCGACGGCUCCGAGAAGAAAAGCUUUCGGCUCGGAAACGCUGCUCCAGCGAAGCCCGGUUUUUAAUAAAAACCCGCUGUAAGUGAGCUACGCCUAUAGUAUAUUUAAUAUAGAUUUUAUUUAAUUAUAGUAACAUUGUUAGGACCUUAAAAUAAUUAUUUAGGCUAUUAUUAUGAGUUAUAUUGAGUGUUAUUUAACGCUUAUAUAAUAGUAAUAAUAGCUAGACUAUUAAAUUAGUCUCGUCAAGCGUUAGACUAAACUCUAGUGGUAAUGAUACUAGGUUUCGUCAAGGGAUAAUUGUUUUAAGAGUAACGAAGUGCUGUCCGAGUGCCGACUCACCACCUUUCAGGUGAGUGCAUAGUCCCUUUCAUCUUACACAUAGAUAUGAAGUAUUUUAUAUAAACUACGUGCUAUGUGUGCACAUUAUCUGAAUACUUGCUGUCUAUGCUGGUUGAACGUUUUAUACAUGUUUUAAAGGACUUAAACUGUAUACGUAUUUUAUAUAUACGAAAAUGUUGGGUAUGAGAUGGGUAGAUGAAUGAUGAGAGAUAGAAGAUGACGUGAGUAUACAUUGGCAGCUAUAGACUUAGUGCCUAUGGGACAAACACCGGUAGCUAUGGACUUAGUACCUUUUAGACGUUGGUAGCUAUGGAUUUAGUACCUGUUGGGAAUUGGUAGCUAUGGACUUAGUACCUAUUAGUUAGACGCUGGUAGCUAAGGAUUUAGUACCUGUAGGAAUUGGUAGCUAUGGACUUAGUACCUGUUGAACAUUGGUAGCUAUGGACUUAGUACCUAUUAGAUAAAGACUGGUAGCUAUGGAUUUAGUACCCGAUGAAUAGACUAUAGCAGCUAUGGAAUUAGUGCUUUAUGAACGAACAUUGGCAGCUAUGGAUUUAGUGCCAGUCCCAUAACCCUGGAAGUAAGGGACUUCGGAAUAAACGAAUGCAGGAUAGAUGACUCUUAGGUUAAAUCCUUAAAGAGUAAAGAAGAUAAUGGGGAUGGGUAAUUGGGUUGAUUGUUUGAUUGAACAUAAUAAUUAUAUUAUUGUGGGUUGAAAACCCUAUGUACUCACCAGGUUUCCCAACCUGACCCACUCAGUUUAUGUAUAUCACAGGUGACGAAGUGAAGUGACAUUACACUGAGAGAUUUAAAAGAGAUGUAGAUCACUAGUGUAAAUCAUUGUAAGUUCUGUUUAUGCUUAUGUUUCGGUAUUAACGAUGACAUCCCAAACAUUUUAAAAUGAAAUAAAUACGUUUCUUCGAAAAUGUUUUAAUAACGUAUUUACCAUGUUUUUCUGGGAACAAAUUCCGCAACCUUUUUAUAAAAUGAAGUACUCUGAUUUUUAUAAAGCAUAAACAAAAUCGGUCUUUUCUGGCCGUGAUUUUGGGGAUGUCACAGUUGGUAUCAGAGCAUUAGUUUAAGCGAACUAGGAAUAUGGAUUUAUUUCUAGACUUAAACUUAGAAUGCUAAGCGAUGAUUGUGAGGUGUGAGCACUAGCUUAUUUUAGGAAUUGUGCCUAAAAUGCUUUUAUGUGCUAAAUGCUUUGUGCAUGAUAUGUUGUUAUUUGUUCGGAUCUAUGGUCUGUUGCCGACCGGAUCUGGAAACCUUAUGUGUUUAGGAUUCUAAGCGUUUAACUACGAUAUUAGAACUAGCAUAUAAACGUUUCGGGGUGAUAAGGAUGAUUUAAGACGUCAAUCCUAAAUUAAGAUCUAGAUUCACCUUAUUCGGUGUAUAGAUCAGAAUGGCAAGAACCCGUAGCGGAGCUGGGAAUGCAAAUGGGAAUAGGAAUCAACCCCUAGUGGUUCAGCAAAUACCUGUUGUAGAAGAAGUUGCGCCUGAGCCAGUCACCAUGGCUGGAGUUCAAGCCAUGAUUCGGGCUAUGUUGGCUGAACAAAGGGAAGAAAUGAGACGAAUGUUGAAUAGGGACGAACCUACUAUGCCCAUUGAGCAACCCGAACUGAUUCCCGAGCAAUCUGAGGAAGGGAACUACAGCCGCCAAGUGAGUCAAGUAGGGACUCAAGGUGAGCAAAGGGAUGGCCCAGAAGGGAGAAACAACAAGGAUGGGCGGAUGUACAAGAAUUUCUUGGGUGCGAAACCGCCAAGUCUCUCAGGAAGCCCGAAGCCGGUUGAGAUUAUGGAUUGGAUCUCUGAGAUGGAGAUGGUGUUUGAGAGCUGCAGCUGUAACGAGAAACAGAAGACUGUCUUCGCAGUAAGACAGCUGAAAACUGGAGUCUUGAGCUGGUGGAAGCUAUUGGCAGAUACGAUGCCACGAGGAGAAGCCUUAAGGAUGUCGUGGGAAGAGUUUUUGGAACAGUUGAAAAUGCAGUACUGCUCGGAGGUAGAUCUGAUAGACCUAAACAACGAGUUUCAGAACCUGAAGAAAGGGAAGAUGAGUGUUGAUGAGUA
rnacentral:lncRNA from 1 species